UAGGGAAUCUUCCGCAAUGGGCGAAAGCCUGACGGAGCAACGCCGCGUGAGUGAAGAAGGUCUUCGGAUCGUAAAACUCUGUUAUUAGGGAAGAACAAAUGUGUAAGUAACUAUGCACGUCUUGACGGUACCUAAUCAGAAAGCCACGGCUAACUACGUGCCAGCAGCCGCGGUAAUACGUAGGUGGCAAGCGUUAUCCGGAAUUAUUGGGCGUAAAGCGCGCGUAGGCGGUUUUUUAAGUCUGAUGUGAAAGCCCACGGCUCAACCGUGGAGGGUCAUUGGAAACUGGAAAACUUGAGUGCAGAAGAGGAAAGUGGAAUUCCAUGUGUAGCGGUGAAAUGCGCAGAGAUAUGGAGGAACACCAGUGGCGAAGGCGACUUUCUGGUCUGUAACUGACGCUGAUGUACGAAAGCGUGGGGAUCAAACAGGAUUAGAUACCCUGGUAGUCCACGCCGUAAACGAUGAGUGCUAAGUGUUAGGGGGUUUCCGCCCCUUAGUGCUGCAGCUAACGCAUUAAGCACUCCGCCUGGGGAGUACGACCGCAAGGUUG
rnacentral:rRNA from 1 species